rnacentral:ncRNA from 1 species
UAAUCGCGGAUCAGCACGCCGCGGUGAAUACGUUCCCGGGCCUUGUACACACCGCCCGUCACACCAUGAGAGUUUGUAACACCCGAAGCCGGUGGGGUAACCUCUUUGAGGAGCUAGCCGUCUAAGGUGGGACAGAUGAUUGGGGUGAAGUCGUAACAAGGUAGCCGUAGGAGAACCUGCGGCUGGAUCACCUCCUUU